UACGUAGGGGGCAAGCGUUGUCCGGAAUCAUUGGGCGUAAAGAGCGUGUAGGCGGUUUAGUAAGUCUGCUGUGAAAGUCCAGGGCUCAACCCUGGGAUGCCGGUGGAUACUGCUGGGCUAGAGUACGGAAGAGGCGAGUGGAAUUCCCGGUGUAGCGGUGAAGUGCGCAGAUAUCGGGAGGAACACCUAUUGCGAAGGCGGGUCUCUGGGCCGAUACUGACGCUGAGGAGCGAAAGCGUGGGGAGCAAACAGG
rnacentral:rRNA from 1 species